UCCUUCAUUCCUCUACCUUUCUUCACCCACUGCACCCAUCCGCCCACAGUUAGAAAAAUUGAUCGUGUUCAAACAAAAAAAUCAAGAAAUCCUCAAGCCAAUUCAUUGAGACGCACUACUCUCGAAUAACCUUAGAUUCCACACCAAUAAAAAAAAAUACUCGAAGAGGUUCCACUCAUCUCAUGAAGUGGAUCCAGAAAGCGCGGUUUGUUGAAUCUCAUUGGAUCUACAGAAGUGUGGAUGCAUGUGUCCCAUAUGGACUUCGAUCCCAAUGUUUCCCCCAUUAGGAUUGUAAAAAUAUUAUAGCUUUAGCCCUUUGAUUAGUUUGCAAAGCCAUAAAUUUAGAAAAGAUAAAAACCAAAUUAUAACACUACUUAAAGUUAAUAAGACUGAUUAGGCCAUAAGAAGAACUCAACUGAUGAUGUUGGUGGCAUCACAUUGAGUCCUCCAGUUUCUGCUGAUUCUGUAGCGCCAUCAUUGGUAUUAGCAUGAAAAUGCUGAAAGAGGUUGUGGUGAUAGUAAGCCGUAUUCGAGUCAUACAAAAUUCCAUAAGGGAUUGAAGCAAACGAUUGUUGAUGAUAAUUGAUCUCUUUUGAAACCCUAGAUAUGCUCUCCACUUUUGGUAUGGAUGAAAUUUCUAAUUUAGAAUGAUUUUGUUUCGUAGAUCCCCUUCAAUCGUGGCGGCAACAACAACAUCAUGAGAUGCAAGAAGGUUGGUCUAUGGAAUCUCAUUGAAGCUACAAAAGAGGAGGAACUCGUGUUCCACGUUGACUUCUAUCCCUAUGUUUCCUCCAUAAGGAGUACAUAGGUCGAGGUCAAUUAGGAAACUCUAAAUAUGCUCUUCGCUCUUGGUUUAGGAAUAAAAUUGUUGGAUUUCCCACUCUGAGAUGAAGCGGAUUCAAAAAAGAUGGCUUGUGGAAUCUCGUUGAAGCUACAAAAGAGGAGGAGCAUGUGUCCUGUAUUGACUUCGAUUUCAAUAUUUCUACCACUAGGACUAUGCAUAUCGAGGUCGAUUAGGAAACCCAAGAUGUGCUCGUCAGUCUUGGUAUGGAUGAAUUCCCAAAUUCAGCAGAUUGAUUUUGUUCUCCUUCAACAAAUCCCAUCCAGUCGUAGUGGCGACGACGACAU